UACGUAGGAUCCGAGCGUUGUCCGGAAUUACUGGGUGUAAAGGGCGUGUAGGUGGGUCUCUAAGUCGAUGGUGAAAUCCUGCAGCUUAACUGUAGAAUUGCCUUCGAUACUGGAGAUCUUGAGUGCGGCAGAGGGAGAUGGAAUUCAUGGUGUAGCGGUGAAAUGUGUAGAUAUCAUGAAGAACACCGGUAGCGAAGGCGGUCUCCUGGUCCGUAACUGACACUGAGGCGCGAAGGCCAGGGGAGCAAACGGG
rnacentral:rRNA from 1 species